GUAUAAGUCACGAAGAAGUUAGAAUAUAUUACCUUAUGCAAUAAUUAAAUAUGAACCAAUUCAUUAAAGUACCUAAAGUUGAUGAUUUGCCUAUUAUACUAAUGGAUCUCACGAGGUUUAUCUUGAGUUUUGUGUGAUGAAGUUUUCAAGUUUUGGGUGCGAUUACGAUGGAUGAAGAAAUAAGGAGUGGCAAGAACGUAAGCUUGGGGAUUCCCAAGGAAUCCCUUUUUUGUCUCCAUUACAUUGGUAUGUCACGUGGAGC
rnacentral:lncRNA from 1 species